rnacentral:lncRNA from 1 species
UUUCCCAACGCUUCCUGGGUUCACCUGAAUUCCUUACCAACAUGUAUUUCUUCCACUUUGUUAUUUUUGGAUUAAUGUAAAUGAAGUCUGUCUUGGGCUCUCUAAGAGAAAUGAAAGGGACGCUAGGGUCAGAAGCUUCAGUGUUGGCUCUGAUGGAGAAAGAGUAAGAGGGCUGAACGCCUUGAGGGUGGAGAGGCACCGUCACCUUCUCAGCCUGGAGAGCUCUGUCCAGCUCUGCAGACGUGGCCCCGGAAGCUCACCUGAAGCCGACGAAGGGAGGAGGGAGUGGAGUGCCCACUGCCCGGGCUAGGGCAGCCAGACCCUGGCGGCUUCAUGGCAGCUGCUGUACUCAUUGCCAGCCUCAGGGCGGUGGGGCCACGGAGGAAGAACGUGAACGCCUGGACUCCCACUUGGAAUCUGAAUGCAGUCCAGGGAUUUGGCAUUUGAGUCCCUAGAGCUCGUUGCUAGCCAUCCUCCUCCCCCGCGAGAAUAAUCCAUUUCAAACUUCUGAGCUGUCUAGACUUGUUAUCUGGCCCCCUAAUUCCUGAGAGCCUAGAGCGGGCAGCAGUGGGACCGCCGAGAUAGCAAGGGGGUGAGGUCAUUGGCGCGGUCCCGAGGCAGGAAGUCCAUUCCGGGGGACGAUGGAUGAGUGUGGAGCUGGUGCCCGAACGGGGCCAGAUAACGCGUCUAGACCCGGUGGGCCGUUUCCUCCUCUUCCCCGGUGUCCUAUCGGCAUCCUCCUGCCUUCCUGCUGCUCUUCCGAGCCUCUCCGGAGAAGCCUCUCAGGAGGUUUUACUUCAUUUUCAGUGUAAGGGGCGGCCAGUGUCUCUUGGCCUCGGCUGGGUGUGGGUGCGUUUUCUAAGUCACAGUGACGGUGGGGCCGGGAGGCCUUUCUGGAGAGGCCAUGCUGGCCUCUGUCACUUUGUCCUUUCAGAGAGUUCAGUGGGUUAGGGGAAAAAUGACGUUUUCUCUCCCCAGUCUCCAAAGGUCAGUGGAAGGCCAGUAGUGGGACUGGGAGGACAGGAGUUGAUGUCAAACAGACCCAGAAAUUUCCACAAGUCCUGGGGGAAAAAAGAGCCUGGAGCAAGUCUUAUCUAAGACAGCCCCUGGGAGCCGCAGAAUGCCGAAUAAACUCGCCUUUCCGGAAGGAGUGGCUAAUUUCAUUGGCCCAUGUGCACUCUGGCUGAUCUUGAAUCCUGGGGAUUCCCCCAGCAAAGAGGAAUCGUGUGUGUUCCAAUAUUCAAAGACACACGUGGGGACUGCAGGAGAGGAAGUGGCCUCCGGAGCACCUGCGGGGGUGGAUGAAGUGGUAAUCCCCACCAGCUGUGCUGAGUCUCUGAGCCCCAAUAGUGCUGUGGGUUUGGAACAACUGCAUUGUGGGGAACAUCUGUGCAGAAGGUACAGUGUGUCAGGAGGGCCACUGCCACCCCAAUGAUGAU